UACGUAGGUGGCGAGCGUUAUCCGGAAUUAUUGGGCGUAAAGAGGGAGCAGGCGGCGAUCAAGGUCUGCGGUGAAAGACUGAAGCUCAACUUCAGUAAGCCGUGGAAACCGGGUGGCUAGAGUGCAGUAGAGGAUCGUGGAAUUCCAUGUGUAGCGGUGAAAUGCGUAGAUAUAUGGAGGAACACCAGUGGCGAAGGCGACGAUCUGGGCUGUAACUGACGCUCAGUCCCGAAAGCGUGGGGAGCAAAUAG
rnacentral:rRNA from 1 species